UCUCGGCUCGGUGUCGUUCACGCCGCGGGCUGGACGGCUCUGCGGAACCGCCCGUAGUUGCGGUUAUCCGUCAGAUCGAACGGGUUAACCGCGUUCUCUUCCCAGUUCGCGUCGCGGCGGAACCGCCCGUAGUUGUUGUUGUCCGCAAGGUCGAACGGGUUGAACGCCUUCUCUUCCCAGUUGGCGUCGCGGCGGAAUCGACCGAAGUUGUUGUUGUCCGCGAGCGAAAACGGGUUCUUCCAGUCGAAACCCGACACGGGGGCCAUGUCUUCGGCGGCGGCGACGUCGGUCUCUUUCGCGCCGCGGCGGAACCGUCCGUAGUUGUUGUUGUUCUCGAGGUCGAACGGGUUGAACGCCUUCUCUUCCCAGUCCGCGUCGCGGCGGAACCGUCCGAAGUUGUUGUUGUCCGCGAGCGAGAACGGGUUCUUCAGAACGAAACCCGACACGGGGGCCAUGUCUUUGGCGGCGGUUUGCGGCUUCUCGCGGCGGAACCGCCCGACGUUCGCCUUCUGCGUCACCUGCCUCAGCGCCGCCGGGUCGCCUUUAACGAACCCGUCGUGCGAAAACUCGAGGCGCGCGUCGUCGUCGUUGCCGAGCUUGUGGAACCCGUAAUUGUUCAGCUCACGCUUGAAUCCGUUGAUGUUGACGCGCGCGGGGAACACCGGGAGGACGCCGACGAGCUUCUUCUCGAACGCUUUCGCGUCCUUGACGACGAAGGAUUUGCCGUCUUUGUUCCAGGAG
rnacentral:lncRNA from 1 species